UACAUCUUCUUGAUAGGUAUAAUACAUUGCUAGAUAUCAAUCAUCUCUUAUAGAUUUUCAUGAAUUAAAGAGAUUAAUUCAUGAGUCAAUUAGAAAAGGUUCUAUUUUGACAACUCAGGUUUACAUGGAUUUGAUCUAAAUCGAUUAGAUGGAGCCUAAUAAAAUCAGGUCAACGUGUAUCUGAACAUAUUGCUAGCUAGGUGUAGAUCCC
rnacentral:lncRNA from 1 species